rnacentral:rRNA from 1 species
CCCUUAGAUGUCCUGGGCUGCACGCGCGCUACACUGAUGUGUCCAGUAAGCACCUAACCUCUUCCGAAAGGAACGGGUAACCUUUGCAAAGCACAUCGUGAUGGGGAUAGAUUAUUGCAAUUAUUAGUCUUGAACGAGGAAUUCCUAGUAAGCACAAGUCAUCAGCUUGUGUUGAUUACGUCCCUGCCCUUUGUACACACCGCCCGUCGCUCCUACCGAUUGAAUGUUCCGGUGAGCUCUUCGGACUGCGCGGUCUGCAGUUUCUGCGUUCCGUGCGGAAAGUUGCCCAAACCUUAACAUUUAGAGGAAGGAGAAGUCGUAACA